CAGUCGCCGCGGUAAUACAGAGGGUGCAAGCGUUAAUCGGAAUUACUGGGCGUAAAGCGCGCGUAGGUGGUUCGCCAAGUUGGAUGUGAAAUCCCCGGGCUCAACCUGGGAACCGCAUCCAAAACUGGCGAGCUAGAGUAUGGUAGAGGGUGGUGGAAUUUCCUGUGUAGCGGUGAAAUGCGUAGAUAUAGGAAGGAACAUCAGUGGCGAAGGCGACCACCUGGACUGAUACUGACACUGAGGUGCGAAAGCGUGGGGAGCAAACAGGAUUAGAUACCCCCGUAGUCCCUGUCUCUUAUAC
rnacentral:rRNA from 1 species